UCAGUCCCGCUGGGUCCGGGGAAGCUGGGUUGAAGGACUCAAGUUAAAUAGUUGCUUUCUUCCCAUGGGUCCCCCACCCCUUGCAAAGUGGUCACUGAUUAACCCUUCGGACCAGAUAGCCCUUCACAGGGGAAGAAAAUAAGUGCUUAUCCUGGAUCAUAAAAUAUCAAUAUUGACUUCUCAGGUGUCACAGAACAGCCCGUGGUGCAUAAGGAUAGCUGAAGGCGAUCAUGUCCAGGAGUGUGUGUGCUCCUGUAAAAGGUGGCCCUCUCUACCUCUGCUCUUGGUCUUGCCGUUCUCCCCCUUUCUGCUCUAGACGGACACCUGGGGAUCCUUGUUCCUCUCCAGAGCUCACCGUUACAGACCGUCUUCCCCAGUGCCACAGGAUCUCACGAGGCUGAGUCUCUCACGCCUUAUUAAAUUCCUGCACAACCUCA